UACGUAGGGUGCGAGCGUUGUCCGGAAUUAUUGGGCGUAAAGAGCUCGUAGGCGGUCUGUCGCGUCGGUCGUGAAAACUUGGGGCUUAACCCUGAGCUUGCGGUCGAUACGGGCAUGACUGGAGUUCGGCAGGGGAGACUGGAAUUCCUGGUGUAGCGGUGAAAUGCGCAGAUAUCAGGAGGAACACCAAUAGCGAAGGCAGCUCGCUGGGACGGUACUGACGCUAAGGCGCGAAAGCGUGGGGAGCGAACAGG
rnacentral:rRNA from 1 species